AGCAGCCGCGGUAAUUCCAGCUCCAAUAGCGUAUAUUAAAGUUGUUGCAGUUAAAAAGCUCGUAGUUGAAUUUCGGGAUCAAUUAAUUGGUCGUGCCUCUGGUACGUACUGAUUUUAUUGGUUUCUCCCUUCUGACGAACCAUGAUGUCAUUAAUUUGAUGUCGUGGAGAAUCAGGACUGUUACUUUGAAAAAAUUAGAGUGUUUAAAGCAAGCUAACGCUUGAAUACAUUAGCAUGGAAUAAUGAAAUAGGACGUUUGAUCCUAUUUUGUUGGUUUCUAGGAUCGACGUAAUGAUUAAUAGGGAUAGUUGGGGGCAUUAGUAUUCAAUUGUCAGAGGUGAAAUUCUUGGUUUUAUUGAAGACUAACUACUGCGAAAGCAUUUGCCAAGGAUGUUUUCAUUAAUCAAGAACGAAAGUUAGGGGAUCGAAGACGAUCAGAUACCGUCGUAGUCUUAACCAUAAACUAUGCC
rnacentral:rRNA from 1 species